GGGAGGAAGGGAAGGAAAGUAGGUCCUCACCUGUAAAGGGUCUCCAUGGUGACCUUCUGCAGUCUCACGUGCUUUGGCUACACGAGCUGAACAGCUACUGAGGGAGAUACUCCCUCCUGCCCAACGCUUUCCUUUUCGUCUUUAUCGGUUUUCUUUUUUUCUUUUUCUUUCUUUUUUUUUUUUUUUGACUGACUUCAAAUCAAACUCUACUUGCCUAACAGCGUUCUUUUAUCUUCUGAACUCUUUUCUUUUAAAUAAUACAAGCAGACAAUAAAGCAGACUGCGGGGCUGCAAAGUUUUUUGUUAAAGAGAGAGAGAAAAAAAAAAAUCACAUAAGGGAAAAAAUAAUAAAGAAACAAAUACCACCAGGAACCUGGACAGCCCUGCCGACAGCGCUGGGGUUGGUUUUUUGAAUCAAUAAGUUUUGCCUUUUAACACUAAUUGUACUGUUUUUAUCCUUAUUCACGUGUCUAGCUAAAAACGAUCAUAACAAUUAGCCUAAAAAUGUAAAAAGAAAGGAAAAAAAAUAUGUUUCAGUUAAUCCACUCUAUAUCUGAACGAUCUGCUAGAUUGUAUUUUAUUUUUAUUUUUGGGGGGGAGGGGGAUAAGUACCAUACUGAAAUAACCUGCAGGAAACCAGUUUUUACCCCAAAAAUGAAAUUGUGCAUAUGUUCAGGGCAAGGACUUGCACAUGGUUUCCACCAACACAUUUCUUCUGCUAUCACAUGAGGUAUCGGAGAUUUGACAGAGAGGUGUUGUGCCUAUGGCAGGAGAGGUCGUGAGCCGUUUGCCCUCAAGAGUAGCAGCCCCCAUAAAUAUUUACAAAAUCUGCGCUUUUCCCACAAAACUGCUAUUCCUAAACUUCAUUCUUAAUUUCAUUGCCGUAUGAAGAUAAUGCCACGCCAUUUUCUUCAUCUUUAUCUGGCAUUGCAACGAGUGUCUUGUACAUAAUGGUGUGCCUGUGACAAUAAAUAAUUAUAUUGAUAUUUUUUAAGAAGUCGUGAGCCCAUAAAGUCUGUGUAGACGGCAUAUAGAGGGGGAAAGCUCUCCUGCAGUUUAUUUUAGUUACGGGGUGAUUAUUUUUUUAUGUAGUGAUGCUCUUGUUCUCACGUUUAAAAAGAAAGAUCAUUCAGAUUAUAUCGGUGUUGGCGAUCUGUCUGCCAUUCGGAAGUUGUGAUUCCCACAAGAGAAACGAGAACAAUGCCAUAAGCUAAUGGGAGUUUAAUGAGCAAAAUCGGUAAAUACAAAUAAAAAAGGGUAUAGAAACCUCAAUCUAAUUUUUUUACAAAGUUUUUGAUACAGCCUCAAAUUGUUUUAUUAAAAAUAAAUGAAUAGUGUAUUGCGAUUUGUAAAAGCAUAGCUUAGUAGAGAACUGAUUCAGUAUAUGUAUAUUAUUUUCUCAUGGGUCACUUUUUUUUCUUUUUUUUGUUCCCCUCUAAAUUGAAAUUUGUUGGACGUCCCAUAUCCAUUGUAAUCUUUUUCUUUCUUUCUUUUUUCCUCCUGAUCACUUGUUUUUUUGGACAGUUAAGAUGACUCACUUUAUAUGUUGUUUUUUUUUUUUUGGUUGUUUUUUUCUUUGAAUGUGACCCUUUGCAAUAAUGUUAGGUGUGGUGGAGUGAUGGGUAGAUUGUGCAGGCGAGACAGGAUGGUGAGCUGUCUAAUGGCAGCUGGUGAUGCCGGGUUUUCUGUAAUCUGCAUUUGCACAGGGACGGACCGUUUGGACUGGGGUAACGGUGUCAGUGCUUAACGCUAAACGAUCCAACGACUAACCUAGCGUAGUGUCUCCAUGUAAUGGAGAAGAGUUGACCUUUUACGCUACACACAUAUAUACUAUAAAAUAUAGAUUUAUUUUUUAAUCAAUAAGCUUGGGUUAUAAUCUAUUUUAAAAUGCUUCCAUUUACCAUGCGUUGAUUUAUCAAUAUUCAAGUCCACUGAGUUUUUUUUAAUUUUAUUUUUAAUUGCACCCUGGUUUGUCUGCUCUUUUGAAGCCCUUACAGGUGUUUACGCGGUUAAUCUGUCUUUCAUACUGACCCCUUCUGUCAAAAGGAAGACUACUUUAAAAUAAAAAAAAUUAAAAAUUUACAAAACCUCUGCAAGUAAGAACUACUAAAUGGUAAACAAAAAAAAACAAAAAAAAAAUAGAAAGAAAAGAAAAAAAAAAAGGAAAAAAAUCUGUGAAAUGGGUGUUCCUGUCCAGUAUUUCACUACAGCGUCCAGAGGAGAUGUUACUGUCCCGAUCCCGGCUUCCCUGGUGCUAAUGGUGCGCAGUGGGAUCUUAGCUCUGGAGUCCUGGCUGUGAGGUUGGCGUAGAGAGGGGCUGAGGCGGACCGGAGAGUAACGCGGUGCGGGUUCGACAUCGUUUAGCGGCCGUCACGCGUGGUGCUCCAGCGGUGGGCCUGGUCCAGCGGGGUCCUGAUCAGGGACCCGGGGCGCCCACGUCAGUAUCCCAGCACCGUGACAGCGAGUGUUAUUAUUUUGUAAGUGGCCUUGUGUAUUCCUAAUGCAACAACUGUAUUCUUCAGUGCGUCACGCAGUUCAGACUCACUGACUGUCUACCACAACUCACUCAAAACAAAUGACAUACCAUAUGAUUUUGGAAAGAUUUGAGUUGGAGAAACCAAAGAUGUAAAUUUAAGAAAAAAAAAAAAAAAAAUGGCAGUCUUCAAAUGUUUUAUUGCUACACUGUACGAGGAAGGGACUUGAGGUAGUCGCUGUGUGUGUUCUUUUCUGGAACGUCCUAUACCUUAAAAUGCACAUUACUCCAGCGGUUGCUGUGGCAGUUACUGCAGUGGAAUUUAAAACCCCCCCCCUAUCGUGUUCACACUCUUUUUUCUGCGCCUCUAUUCUGAAAAUGUCCAACACUGAAGAAUACAGCGAACAGCAGACCUCCAUAUUUUUUCUACAGCAGAAGGCCAGUACAGCACAAAUAUCAAGAGCAGUUGAAUCUGUCACUCACUUGUGAGGUAGCUUGCUUCCUGGAACUAGCGACAGGUUGGAUUAUGCGUCAUACUAACUUUUUUUUUUUUGUUUGUUUGUUUGUUUGGUGUUUUUUUUUUUUUCUUCCCAUUUAUUUUUAUGUUGCCUAUAGAAAUAUAGGGAUUGGUGUCAAAUCAUAUCAGCCUUACUUCUGUCUCUGCAGUACUCAGGCCUCCGAUGGGGCUGCUUCUGUUUUCAUUGCAGUAGAAGGUAGCUUUUUUUUGUUGCCCCCGCCUUUGGGAUAAACUAGUCCUUAUAACUGGAAUGUUGAGGAUAUUAUCAUUUGUAUGAAGUGAGAAAAUAUUAAUAAGGUAGAUUUAUUUUAUAAGUGUUUUCUGUGGUACAGAAAGUUUUCUUGGGAUCCCAUUUUGUUUUCUUUUGCAUUUUUGCAUUUUUACUUGCGCCCCCGCCCCCAACCCCCCCCCCCCGCCCACGCCCCCACGCCCCCCUGCCCACAGCAGUGUGCUUGCAUGACCUCAUGGCGGUACACAGCCUGGCCCUUACAGUGCAGUACGGGAGGAGCUUAUUGGCUCUUCACAUAACAAAUCAAGUGAGCAAACAAGACCCGAAACCUCAAAAGAGACCAGAGGAAGAGGUUGUCCUAGCAACAGUGAGGGAGUGGGAGAGAGAGAGCGAGAGAGAGAGGGAGGGAGUGGGAGAGAGAGAGCGAAAGAAUAACAAAACACAAAUUGCUCAUACUUUGGGAAGCUGGAUUUUUGUCCAUUAACGUGGCAACUUCAACCUAAAAAAAACAGGGGGUUCACAUGAAUGCUCAAGUAAAGAAUAAUACAAAAAAUGCAUUAAAACAAUGCAUUUUUUCUUUUUACUGUUUUUAAUAGCAUUGUUUUAUUUAUGCUACUAGACACUGUAUGUUGAAAUCUUGUAUUAAAAAAGUGUUUUCACCAAA